rnacentral:rRNA from 1 species
GAUGAACGCUAGCGGGAGGCCUAACACAUGCAAGCCGAGCGGUAGAGUCUCUUCGGAGACUUGAGAGCGGCGCACGGGUGCGGAACACGUGUGCAACCUGCCUUUAUCUGGGGGAUAGCCUUUCGAAAGGAAGAUUAAUACCCCAUAAUAUACUGGAUGGCAUCAUCUGGUAUUGAAAACUCCGGUGGAUAGAGAUGGGCACGCGCAAGAUUAGAUAGUUGGUGAGGUAACGGCUCACCAAGUCAGCGAUCUUUAGGGGGCCUGAGAGGGUGAUCCCCCACACUGGUACUGAGACACGGACCAGACUCCUACGGGAGGCAGCAGUGAGGAAUAUUGGACAAUGGGUGAGAGCCUGAUCCAGCCAUCCCGCGUGAAGGACGACGGCCCUAUGGGUUGUAAACUUCUUUUGGAUAGGGAUAAACCUAGAUACGUGUAUCUAGCUGAAGGUACUAUACGAAUAAGCACCGGCUAACUCCGUG